GAUGAACGCUGGCGGCGUGCCUAAUACAUGCAAGUCGAGCGAACGGACGAGAAGCUUGCUUUUCUGAUGUUAGCGGCGGACGGGUGAGUAACACGUGGAUAACCUACCUAUAAGACUGGGAUAACUUCGGGAAACCGGAGCUAAUACCGGAUAAUAUUUUGAACCGCAUGGUUCAAAAGUGAAAGACGGUCUUGCUGUCACUUAUAGAUGGAUCCGCGCUGCAUUAGCUAGUUGGUAAGGUAACGGCUUACCAAGGCAACGAUGCAUAGCCGACCUGAGAGGGUGAUCGGCCACACUGGAACUGAGACACGGUCCAGACUCCUACGGGAGGCAGCAGUAGGGAAUCUUCCGCAAUGGGCGAAAGCCUGACGGAGCAACGCCGCGUGAGUGAUGAAGGUCUUCGGAUAGUAAAACUCUGUUAUUAGGGAAGAACAUAUGUGUAAGUAACUGUGCACAUCUUGACGGUACCUAAUCAGAAAGCCACGGCUAACUACGUG
rnacentral:rRNA from 1 species